GUGGAUUAGAUACCCUGGUAGUCCACGCCGUAAACGGUGGGCACUAGGUGUGGGGGACAUUCCACGUUCUCCGUGCCGUAGCUAACGCAUUAAGUGCCCCGCCUGGGGAGUACGGCCGCAAGGCUAAAACUCAAAGGAAUUGACGGGGGCCCGCACAAGCGGCGGAGCAUGCGGAUUAAUUCGAUGCAACGCGAAGAACCUUACCUGGGUUUGACAUGCACCAGAAGCAUUCAGAGAUGGGUGUGCCUUCGGGCUGGUGUGCAGGUGGUGCACGGUUGUCGUCAGCU
rnacentral:rRNA from 1 species